CACAAAGGCUAAGUCGCCCCGGGUACCCGCGUCUCCAAUAAAGCCUCUUGUUUUUUGCAUCCAGUUCGUGGCCUCGCUGAUUCCUGGGUGUGGGGUUUCCCUCUACGAAAGUGCCUCUUCGGGGGUCUUUCAUUUGGGGGCUCGUCCGGGAUAGAGACCCCCUCCCAGGGACCACCGACCCACGUUUGGGAGACAUCUGAAUAUCAGUUGCGGACUACUAGCUGUUCCAAGUAGACGGCGAGCCCUGGACUUGCUAUGGAUGUGAACCAGUCUGCUGAUGUGGACACCCCCUAUCUCUACAACAGUGUCUGCUAACCAGAAGCCCCUGAUGGAUUCCCCAUUGCCUAAAAUUCCUUUUUGCUUUUGACUAGCAUUUCAACCUUCUGGGGUCCCUAACUUCGUCCCAAAGUCAGCAGGAAGCAGUUUGGAAAGAAAUUUCGCCGUCCAUUUUCCCUGGUUGGAAUGCUAAGUCAAAAGGAACUCCCUUGCAUGGGGAUGCGAAACGAGAGGGGAUGCUCACUAGAAGCCUUCAUCCUCAUGGGACAAGAUUCAGGUAACCAGAGGAUGGCAAAAGGGCUCCACCGGUAUCACCUCUAUGCCUCUCCUUAUUUCCUUUACAUCGUAUUAGGGAAAUCAACCCGAUAUAAGAGGGAGCCAAUAUCCUUUACCGUGGCCCUAUUAUUAGGAGGGAUAACAGUGGGGGGCAUAGCAGCCGGCAUAGGGAAUUAAUCAUUUCAAACUUCUACAGCAAGCCAUGCACACAGAUAUCCAGGUCCUAAAAGAGUCAGUCAAUGCACUCGAGAAAUCCUUAACAUCACUCUCUGAGGUAGUCCUAUACAGACCAUACAGGAAUAGUUAGAGGCAGCAUGGCCAAGCUUAGAGAAAGACCUAACCAGAGACCUCUGAAUGGAAGAUUCCAUUCAGUUACAAGAGAAAUGGGGGAAUGAAAGACCCGCUCGAAAUGCCCCUGAGCCCCCUGCCCCGAAGCUGCCGGGGCCUCCCAAGCCUUCACCCCGGCAGGGCUCGCGCCCCCGGCCCACCCCGCCUGGCACCGCGCCUCGGGGCUGGGGCCGAGCAACGAGCACCAGAUGGGCAGGCCCGAGAACGAGCACCAGGUAGGCUGGGGCCGAGCAACGAGCACCAGGUGGGCCGGCACGAGGGCGAGCACCAGGUGGGCCGGCAUGAGAACGAACACCAAGGGAGCCGGCCUGGAGCCCUGCCCCUGAGCCCCGCCCAAUGAGAAACACUCCGUCCCAAGGUCUCCGCCCCCAAGGUCAGCCAUCUGGACGCGGAGGGAGGGGGAAUUGAGUCUGUUGUACCAGACACCAGACCUUGAGAAUAUGCUGAUCUGGAAUGGCUCUGUGUCUCAUUUGAACCAUCCAAUAGAAAUGAUUCUGUAUUUCGCCUCAUUUGAAAGACUCUGUGUUUCACCUCAUUUGAAUAACUCUG
rnacentral:lncRNA from 1 species